rnacentral:ribozyme from 13 species
AGAAGAAGAAGAAGAAGAACCCUCUCCUCCUUUUCUCUCUUUUUCUUCUCUCUUUUGUUCUUUUUCUGCUCUCUCUUCUCCAUCUCCUUCUUCUUUUUCUCCCCCUUCUCCGAUCUUCCAAACAACAAUUUCACCAUCCAAAGAAGCAGACCACAUUUGUUUCAAAGAAGGAACAAACAACAAUCUCCGAAUAUCUCGACAUUUAUGUGCAUUUUCCACAACAACAGUCGCUGGAAUUUUUAUUGAACUUUCUGAAGAAAGAGAAGAA